rnacentral:tRNA from 1 species
GGUUAACAUGCCUGCCUGUCACGCAGGAGAUCGCGGGUUCGAUUCCCGUCGGGACCGCCA